rnacentral:rRNA from 1 species
AGAGUUUGAUUAUGGCUCAGGAUAAACGCUGGCGGCAUGCCUAACACAUGCAAGUCGAACGGGGUUUAUAUAACAGAACUCUUCGGAGGGAAGUUAUAUAAACCUAGUGGCGGACGGGUGAGUAACGCGUGGGGAACCUGCCCUGUACCGGGGGACAACAGCCAGAAAUGGCUGCUAAUACCGCAUAAUCCUGCGCUGCCGCAUGGCAGCGCAGGGAAAACUCCGGUGGUACAGGAUGGUCCCGCGUCUGAUUAGCUUGUUGGCGGGGUAACGGCCCACCAAGGCAACGAUCAGUAGCCGGCUUGAGAGAGCGGACGGCCACAUUGGGACUGAGACACGGCCCAGACUCCUGCGGGAGGCAGCAGUGGGGAAUAUUGCACAAUGGGGGGAACCCUGAUGCAGCAAUGCCGCGUGGGUGAAGAAGUACCCCGGUAUGUAAAGCCCUGUCAGCAGGGAAGAAAAUGACGGUACCUGACUAAGAAGCCCCGGCUAACUACGUGCCAGCAGCCGCGGUAAUACGUAGGGGGCGAGCGUUAUCCGGAUUUACUGGGUGUAAAGGGAGCGCAGGCGGCGUGGCAAGUCAGAUGUGAAAACCCGGGGCCCAACCCCGGGACUGCAUUUGAAACUGCCAUGCU